rnacentral:rRNA from 1 species
UUUGAUGGCGACCGGCGCACGGGUGAGUAACACGUAUCCAACCUGCCGAUGACUCGGGGAUAGCCUUUCGAAAGAAAGAUUAAUACCCGAUGGCAUAGUUCUUCCGCAUGGUGGAACUAUUAAAGAAUUUCGGUCAUCGAUGGGGAUGCGUUCCAUUAGGUUGUUGGCGGGGUAACGGCCCACCAAGCCUUCGAUGGAUAGGGGUUCUGAGAGGAAGGUCCCCCACAUUGGAACUGAGGCACGGUCCAAACUCCUACGGGAGGCAGCAUG